rnacentral:lncRNA from 1 species
UAGGCGUGAAGAAUUCUCUCCUUGAAAGAUCUUGCUUUUCUCUUUCACAAUCUCUCUGGUAUAUUGUGGAUCCUCUCUCUUUUUCUUUUUGGAUUUUUCGUUGAUCUCAGGCUUUUUCUUGCAAAUUUCAGAUCCUUUCUUCUACUCUUCUCUCUCUUUCUCUGCUCCUCUUCUAUUUUGAUUUCACGUUUGAUCUGCUAUUUAAUCUGUAAUUUCUUUCACCAUUUAAAGCAUUUUGUAGCAUUAGAAGCAAGAAAAAAUAAUUUAGGUAGAUAAAGAGCCGUUAGAGGAUUUUUAGGAAGCAUAAAUGGCAAUUAAAACAGGCAAAAAAAUAGCCGUUGCUGACAUUUCCCGUCGCAGGGGUCGACUCAUGAGUCGACUCAUGCUUCAGGGGUCGACUCAUGAGUCGACCUCUGUUGCAAAAACCAGAGAAUGCUUUUCUAGAAAUUCUUGGCUCAAAUUAGCAGGGGUCGACUCAUGAGUCGACUCAUGCCUUGUGGGUCGACUCAUGAGUCGACUCAUGCCUUGUGGGUCGACUCAUGAGUCGACUCACAGGUCGUGCCAAGCCAGAAAACAGCGUGCCAAAGAGAAUUUUUGCGUGCCAAUCAGCUCACAGUGCCAUGAGUUGACUCAUGAGUCGACUCAUACACUUCAAACCUUCAUAACUUCAAAAAUAUAAGUCCAAACACAAUAAAAUUUUCACCAAUAGAUUUCAAAUCAUUUGUUCUACCAAAUGGUACUAUCAAAUCAGGAUUUUAGUGAAAUUAUGAUUUUUCCCUUGAAGACCAUAAGGACUUUUUCAUUUUAAAAUUAUUUGUAUCCCUUCAAUCUGCUUUGUAAUCAUCAAAAUCAAUCUAGGAGCAACAAUAUAAAACCUUGAUCGAAGAGUCCCAAACCAGUGGGACUCUUAACCCCGGUACCCAAAAUAUGUGAAACUCAUGAUCAGAGAAUCCUGAUUCUCGAUCACAGAGUCUUAGACAUAUAGGACUCAGAGUCUUUGAGCAUAAAGACUCUUGGUUGAAGAGUCCCAGUCCAGUGGGACUCUUCACCAGCCA